rnacentral:rRNA from 1 species
AGGGAAACCGAGUCUUAACUGGGCGUUAAGUUGCAGGGUAUAGACCCGAAACCCGGUGAUCUAGCCAUGGGCAGGUUGAAGGUUGGGUAACACUAACUGGAGGACCGAACCGACUAAUGUUGAAAAAUUAGCGGAUGACUUGUGGCUGGGGGUGAAAGGCCAAUCAAACCGGGAGAUAGCUGGUUCUCCCCGAAAGCUAUUUAGGUAGCGCCUCGUGAACUCAUCUUCGGGGGUAGAGCACUGUUUCGGCUAGGGGGUCAUCCCGACUUACCAACCCGAUGCAAACUGCGAAUACCGAAGAAUGUUAUCACGGGAGACACACGGCGGGUGCUAACGUCCGUCGUGAAGAGGGAAACAACCCAGACCGCCAGCUAAGGUCCCAAAGUCACAGUUAAGUGGGAAACGAUGUGGGAAGGCUCAGACAGCCAGGAUGUUGGCUUAGAAGCAGCCAUCAUUUAAAGAAAGCGUAAUAGCUCACUGGUCGAGUCGGCCUGCGCGGAAGAUGUAACGGGGCUAAACUGUGCACCGAAGCUGCGGCAGCGACGCUUAUGCGUUGUUGGGUAGGGGAGCGUUCUGUAAGCCUGCGAAGGUGUCCUGUGAGGGAUGCUGGAGGUAUCAGAAGUGCGAAUGCUGACAUAAGUAACGAUAAUGCGGGUGAAAAGCCCGCUCGCCGGAAGACCAAGGGUUCCUGUCCAACGUUAAUCGGGGCAGGGUGAGUCGACCCCUAAGGCGAGGCCGAAAGGCGUAGUCGAUGGGAAACGGGUUAAUAUUCCCGUACUUGGUGUUACUGCGAAGGGGGGACGGAGAAGGCUAUGUUGGCCGGGCGACGGUUGUCCCGGUUUAAGCGUGUAGGUGUGUGUUCCAGGUAAAUCCGGUUCACUUUAACACUGAGGCGUGAUGACGAGGCACUACGGUGCUGAAGCAACAAAUGCCCUGCUUCCAGGAAAAGCCUCUAAGCAUCAGGUAACAUCAAAUCGUACCCCAAACCGACACAGGUGGUCAGGUAGAGAAUACCAAGGCGCUUGAGAGAACUCGGGUGAAGGAACUAGGCAAAAUGGUGCCGUAACUUCGGGAGAAGGCACGCUGA